UAGGGAAUCUUCGGCAAUGGGGGCAACCCUGACCGAGCAACGCCGCGUGAGUGAAGAAGGUUUUCGGUUCGUAAAGCUCUGUUGUAAGAGAAGAACGUGUGUGAGAGUGGAAAGUUCACACAGUGACGGUAACUUACCAGAAAGGGACGGCUAACUACGUGCCAGCAGCCGCGGUAAUACGUAGGUCCCGAGCGUUGUCCGGAUUUAUUGGGCGUAAAGCGAGCGCAGGCGGUUUAAUAAGUCUGAAGUUAAAGGCAGUGGCUUAACCAUUGUUCGCUUUGGAAACUGUUAAACUUGAGUGCAGAAGGGGAGAGUGGAAUUCCAUGUGUAGCGGUGAAAUGCGUAGAUAUAUGGAGGAACACCGGUGGCGAAAGCGGCUCUCUGGUCUGUAACUGACGCUGAGGCUCGAAAGCGUGGGGAGCAAACAGG
rnacentral:rRNA from 1 species